GAGUUUGAUCCUGGCUCAGUACGUACGCUGGCGGCGUGCUUAACACAUGCAAGUCGAACGUGAUCCAGAGCUUGCUCUGGUGAAAGUGGCGCACGGGUGAGUAACGCGUGGAUAACCUGCCCUGGUAUCUGGGAUAACAUCUCGAAAGGGGUGCUAAUACCGGAUAAGCCUACGGACUCCUCGGAGUCUGCAGGAAAAGGAGGCCUCUAUUUAUAAGCUUCCGUAUCAUGAUGGGUCCGCGUACCAUUAGCUAGUUGGUGGGGUAAUGGCCUACCAAGGCGACGAUGGUUAGCUGGUCUGAGAGGAUGAUCAGCCACACUGGAACUGAGACACGGUCCAGACUCCUACGGGAGGCAGCAGUGGGGAAUUUUGCGCAAUGGGGGAAACCCUGACGCAGCAACGCCGCGUGAGUGAUGAAGGCUUUCGGGUCGUAAAGCUCUGUCAGAGGGGAAGAAAURRGWCKKGCURAUAUCCMGKYUUCUUGACGGUACCCUCAAAGGAAGCACCGGCUAACUCCGUGCCAGCAGCCGCGGUAAUACAAGGGCGAAUUCUGC
rnacentral:rRNA from 1 species